rnacentral:lncRNA from 1 species
UUAAUGGAAGGAUCUGAAUGGACGUAAAUGUUGAAGAGUUUAGUUGGUGUUGUUUGGAAGAAGAGGUUCCAGAGAGGGGUAAAAUGGAGAUCUGUGUUUGUGAGGAAGAGAAAAGCGAUUUUGAGGUUAGGGUUUUUGGAAGAGAGGUGAAAGAAUUUGGAGGGGUGAGGGGAAGAAGGAGGGGUUGAGGAAUGUGCGAUGGCGUUGUUGAAGAGGUUGAUGUCAUCGAGUUCAUCGGAGGGGGAGAUUGGGAUGGGGGUGGGGUGUGGAGGGAGGAUUCGAGGAGCGAGAAAGAAGAGGAUUGGGAGAGAGAGGAGGAGAGAGAAAGUGAGAACGAAUGGGGUUGAGAACAUUGAGUUUGGUGUUAGGUUUAUUAGUCUGAAUUGUGGGAGUAACAACACUCUUGGAGAUGAUGAAAAGUGGUGGUUAUGGUUGAGGUCUGGAAUUGUGAUUUUAGGUUUUUUGGGGAUGAAAUUGAUGGAGAGAUCAUAGAAAAAUGAGAUUUGGGUUUUGGGAAGUGAGAAUUAUUGAAUUUAAUGAUUGAGAGUGGGUGGAGAAGAUGGGUUUUUUUUGGUUUUGUUUAUUGUUGUUAGGUUUGAGACGUU